rnacentral:tRNA from 1 species
GGAAAUGUGGCUGAGUGGUAGAGUGCUUGUCUAGUAUGCAGGAAGCCUUGGGUUCAACUCCUCAGUACCA